AGCUCCAAUAGCGUAUAUUUAAGUUGUUGCAGUUAAAAAGCUCGUAGUUGGAUUUCGGGCUGGCUUCUGCGGUCUCGCUUUCGCGUCUGUACUGCAGCAGCCUGCCUUCUUGCCGGGGACGGGCCUACGGGCUUAAUUGCUUGGGGCCUGGAGUCGGCGACGUUACUUUGAGUAAAUUAGAGUGUUCAAAGCAAGCCUACGCUCUGAAUAUAAUAGCAUGGGAUAACACGACAGGACUCUGGCCUAUCGUGUUGGUCUGUAGGACCAGGGUAAUGAUUAAGAGGGACAGUCGGGGGCAUUCGUAUUCCGUUGUCAGAGGUGAAAUUCUUAGAUUUACGGAAGACGAACAUCUGCGAAAGCAUUUGCCAAGGAUGUUUUCAUUGAUCAAGAACGAAAGUAG
rnacentral:rRNA from 1 species